GAUGAAGAACGUAGCGAAAUGCGAUAAGUAAUGUGAAUUGCAGAAUUCAGUGAAUCAUCGAAUCUUUGAACGCACAUUGCGCCCGCCAGCAUUCUGGCGGGCAUGCCUGUUCGAGCGUCAUUUCAACCCUCGAGCCCCCCCGGGGGCCUCGGUGUUGGGGGACGGCACACCAGCCGCCCCCAAAAUGCAGUGGCGACCUCGCCGCAGCCUCCCCUGCGUAGUAGCACACACCUCGCACCGGAGCGCGGAGACGGUCACGCCGUAAAACGCCCAACUUCUUAGAGUUGACCUCGGAUCAGGUAGGAAUACCCGCUGAACUUAAGCAUAUCAAUAAGCGGAGGA
rnacentral:misc_RNA from 1 species